rnacentral:rRNA from 1 species
UACAGAGGGUGCGAGCGUUAAUCGGAAUUACUGGGCGUAAAGCGUGCGUAGACGGUUAUCUAAGUCGGGUGUGAAAGCCCCGGGCUCAACCCUGGGAUGCCGGUGGAUACUGUCGGGCUCGAGUCCGGAAGAGGAGUCCGGAAUUCACGGUGGAGCAGUGAAAUGCGCAGAUAUCGGGAGGAACACCGGUGGCGAAGGCGGUUCUCUGGGCCUGUACUGACGCUGAGGAGCGAAAGCGUGGGGAGCGAACAGG